rnacentral:misc_RNA from 1 species
GAUGAAGAACGCAGCGAAAUGCGAUAAGUAAUGUGAAUUGCAGAAUUCAGUGAAUCAUCGAAUCUUUGAACGCACAUUGCGCCCUCUGGUAUUCCGGAGGGCAUGCCUGUCCGAGCGUCAUUGCUGCCCUCAAGCACGGCUUGUGUGUUGGGCCCCGCCCCCCGAUCCCGGGGGGCGGGCCCGAAAGGCAGCGGCGGCACCGCGUCCGGUCCUCGAGCGUAUGGGGCUUUGUCACCCGCUCUGUAGGCCCGGCCGGCGCUUGCCGAUCAACCAAACUUUUUUCCAGGUUGACCUCGGAUCAGGUAGGGAUACCCGCUGAACUUAAGCAUAUCAAUAAGCGGAGGA